UACGUAGGGGGCUAGCGUUGUCCGGAUUUAUUGGGCGUAAAGAGCGUGUAGGCGGCCAUGUAGGUCUGGUGGGAAAACUCGAGGCUUAACCUCGAGAUGUCAUCGGAAACCAUUUGGCUAGAGUCCGGAAGAGGAGAGUGGAAUUCCUGGUGUAGCGGUGAAAUGCGCAGAUAUCAGGAAGAACACCAAUGGCGAAAGCAGCUCUCUGGGACGGUACUGACGCUGAGACGCGAAAGCGUGGGGAGCGAACAGG
rnacentral:rRNA from 1 species